rnacentral:lncRNA from 1 species
GCCUCCCUUACCAGCCCCCAAAACGGGGCAAGACGUAUGGGCUCUUCCUCCCAAACCCUCUAAUUUGAUGUAUUGUCUUAUCUCUCAUAUAUUCUCCCCCUCACAAACGCUACCGAGCCUCAUGGCCGGAGUCAGAUCUGUGGCGACGGCAUGUCCGGUGCCGAUAGAUAUGGUCCACGUAGGAAAGGAGAAGAGAUCCGAUAUGCAUUGAACAUAUCUUGAAUUUGGCGGUCGCAGCCCCUCAUUCCUUUCAGUCGUCGCCGCCAUUGACGGUGGAUAUGGUCAGCACAAGAAGGGUUGCAAUUGACUACGCAAAAUCUUGUUUUGCAUCUAAGGUACACCGAUCCUGAAAAUAUAAUUUAUUUAUUUUUCUGUAUUUUGUUUCAAAUUUAUUUAUUUUUUCGUAAUUUUGUUUUUGUUGUCUACAUCAGUUUUCUUGAUUUUUGAUAAGGUUUAACUUUUUUUUUUUUAUUAUUUUUUGGUGCGGUGAUGAAUGGUAAUUAUAAUUUGUGUGUGAAUUGGAUUAUGGUGUGACAUGGGUAAAGAAAGAUGUGAGCAUAGAGAAUUUGAAUGAUAGUUUUGGAUCUUUUGGUAAAAGAUAAGUGCAAUUGACCAUUAUGUUAAUAUUUUUGUAAUUAUUUUGUAGUGGGUUAGGUUAAUUUCGUAGUGGAUUAUGUUAAUAUUUUGGUGGAUGUUGAUAGUUUUUUGUAAUGGUUUUGGAUGAGAUUGUAGUAGGUUUAAAAUUCUUGCUUUGUAAACUGAUUUUGUUUUGAAUGAAUUAAGUUUACACGUUGUAGUCUUCUUUUUCUUUGAUUCAGGUUCUUGCACAAGUGGAGUAAUGGCAACAAGUGGGACAAGGUUGGGUGAUGUUCGGGUGACUCUACUAUUGUCUGUCAUGACAUUUUUUUUAAAGGGGAUUUUCGUAGUGGAUGUAAGCAAGUUUUUAGUGAAUUUUCUCUUUGUAAAGGGGAUCUUUUGUAGUAGAUUUCUAUAUUUUUGUAGUGGUUUUUGAUGAACUUUUAGUGGAUUUCAGACAAAAUAUACCCACCUGACGCAGGCGCGAGCAAUAGAGGAGGGGAUGUCGAUGCGCUUAUAGUAAAUAGUGGUUUUCGAAUUCUCAAGUGACAUUAAAUAGUGGAUUACGUUAGAGGGGUUGCAGUGAAUAGUGGAUUUCAAACAGUGAAUAGUGGAUUUCGAAUAGUGGAUUUUAAAUUCGGACAGUGAAUAGUGAAUUAGUAAAUAGUGGAUUACGUUAAUUUUACAGUGGAUUUCGAUUCGGACAGUGAAUAGUGAAUUAGUAAAUAGUGGAUUACGUUAAUUUUACAGUGGAUUUCGAAUAGUGGAUUUUAAAUUCAGGCAGUGAAUAUUGGAUUAGUGAAUAGUGGAUUACGCUAAAUUUUACAGUGGAUUACGAUAAUCUUUCAGUGGAUUUUACGUUAAUUUUUUUUAUAGUGAAUGUUCAUAAAUUUUGAUGUGUAGCGAAUUUCAUCUUUUAGUAAAUAUGCUGGA